rnacentral:rRNA from 1 species
CUACGGGACGCUGCAGUGGGGAAUAUUGCGCAAUGGGCGAAAGCCUGACGCAGCAACGCCGCGUGAGGGAUGAAGGCCUUCGGGUUGUAAACCUCUUUCAGCAGGGAAGAAGCGAAAGUGACGGUACCUGCAGAAGAAGCACCGGCUAACUACGUGCCAGCAGCCGCGGUAAUACGUAGGGUGCAAGCGUUGUCCGGAUUUAUUGGGCGUAAAGAGCUCGUAGGCGGUUAGUCACGUCGGAUGUGAAAAUCCAAGGCUUAACCUUGGACCUGCAUUCGAUACGGGCUGACUAGAGUGUUGUAGGGGAGACUGGAACUCCUGGUGUAGCGGUGAAAUGCGCAGAUAUCAGGAAGAACACCGAUGGCGAAGGCAGGUCUCUGGGCAACUACUGACGCUGAGGAGCGAAAGCGUGGGGAGCAAACAGGAUUAGAUACCCCAGUAGUC